rnacentral:rRNA from 1 species
UWWUYYCMUAUAUACAUGCAAGUCGAGCGGACAGAAGGGAGCUUGCUCCCGGAUGUUAGCGGCGGACGGGUGAGUAACACGUGGGUAACCUGCCUGUAAGACUGGGAUAACUCCGGGAAACCGGAGCUAAUACCGGAUAGUUCCUUGAACCGCAUGGUUCAAGGAUGAAAGACGGUUUCGGCUGUCACUUACAGAUGGACCCGCGGCGCAUUAGCUAGUUGGUGGGGUAAUGGCUCACCAAGGCGACGAUGCGUAGCCGACCUGAGAGGGUGAUCGGCCACACUGGGACUGAGACACGGCCCAGACUCCUACGGGAGGCAGCAGUAGGGAAUCUUCCGCAAUGGACGAAAGUCUGACGGAGCAACGCCGCGUGAGUGAUGAAGGUUUUCGGAUCGUAAAGCUCUGUUGUUAGGGAAGAACAAGUGCGAGAGUAAYUGCUCGCACCUUGACGGUACCUAACCAGAAAGCCACGGCUAACUACGUGCCAGCAGCCGCGGUAAUACGUAGGUGGCAAGCGUUGUCCGGAAUUAUUGGGCGUAAAGGGCUCGCAGGCGGUUUCUUAAGUCUGAUGUGAAAGCCCCCGGCUCAACCGGGGAGGGUCAUUGGAAACUGGGAAACUUGAGUGCAGAAGAGGAGAGUGGAAUUCCACGUGUAGCGGUGAAAUGCGUAGAGAUGUGGAGGAACACCAGUGGCGAAGGCGACUCUCUGGUCUGUAACUGACGCUGAGGAGCGAAAGCGUGGGGAGCGAACAGGAUUAGAUACCCUGGUAGUCCACGCCGUAAACGAUGAGUGCUAGUGUUAGGGGUUUCCGCCCCUUAGUGCUGCAGCUACGCAUUAGCACUCGCUGGGGAGUACGUCGCAGACUGAACUCAAGAUGACGGGGCCGCMAGCGUGAGCAUGUGCUUAUCGAGCACGCGAGACCUACCAGGUCUGMMUCUCUGAMACCUARAGAWGGCUC